AUAGCUCGUGCUUCAACCCGACUCCUCUGAGUCAAUGACAAAACCAGAGUUCUCGUCUCGACUGCUCCGACCAAAAUCCAGUUCUCCAACCCGACUCCCAGCGAUGCAACCAAAUUCUGGUUCUCCACCCAAAAUCGAGGUCUUCUCGUUAUUGAUACUAGAAACUCGUCUCAGGUUGCACGAUUGUUGCAACCCAAUCUUUCUUUUUUUCUUCCUCUCAUGAAAAUUGUAGUUCUCUUAUGGUCCCAUAUCCUCCCUUGAAGUUUUCGCGUCAAAAGUUGGAGACUUGGAAGCAAAGAAGCACAUCUAGACAUUGCUGGCAUAUGCCUCAUGUUUACUGGGAACUCGUUUUUUCUGUGGGCUAAAAGGAAAGGAAGGUUCCCUCGACUGUUUAUCAUAGUUAGACGAAUGUCAGAUGGAAUGAAAUGGAGUGGAAGCUAAUGAUGAUCCUUCUUUGAGAAGACAAAUCGAGCAUUACUAACAAAUACACAUGCCAUAGUAUUGUCUUGAUGAGUUUUUUUCAUUCUAUUAUACCUUCCACUAGAAUAGCCUAAGCUGGAUCAAGAAAGUGGCAUUUACAAAAUAAAGUCAUGUGAUCCAAGGGGUACUUGCAAGAAGUUCUUGAUUCUCUUAUGUAAAUGAUUUCUUCAGUCCAAGAACUGAUAUAUGCUUUUUUUGGCUCAGAUUCUUCUACUUUGGGACCAUUUUGUUCACAACUAUCCCUUCGCAUUAGAAAUGGUCCUCUAUUUUCAGGCAUCAGCCAAACACUAUAAAAUAGGCAAAUGAAGAAGAUUCACGUGACCAAUUAAAGGAUAACAAGGAUGACAUAGAAGCACACAUAAAAGCACUCCAUUUCAUUCCAUCCGACAUUCGUCUAACUAUGAUAAACAGUCGAGGGAACCUUCCUUUCCUUUUAGCCCACAGAAAAAACGAGUUCCCAGUAAACAUGAGGCAUAUGCCAGCAAUGCUGCAACAUUAAGAGUAAACCAGAGUCACUAGUAGAAACGGGAAAAAGAAAAAAAAAAGAAAGAAAAAAAAGAAGCAAAAAUCCCAA